AGAGCCUCUUAUGGAACUAAUUUACGUCAACAUCAACAAUGACAAUGCGGUGCAUGAGGACGUCGGAGAGGCCGAUCAAGCGUAUGACGACAUCCAAGAGGAGGACAGAGAGAGCGGACUUCCUCCUGUGGAAACAUCUACACUUUAAACUUUAUGUUGCAUUGAAUCCAGAGCAGUUUGUAGUUCAGUCUUUUGGGAAGAUUAUUUCAGUCAAACUCACGUUUAUAUAGCUUAAAAUGUUUACUGCUGCAGUUUGUGUUUGCGUCCGGGCUCCGACCUCAUCACUGCUAACAGUUUUAAUUUACAUGCAGAAAUCUGAGGAGUGAUGUGAUGAUAUUUUAAACACCCCUGUCAGAGCCAACAGGUGGAUGCUGGUGGUGGGGGUGCUGCUGAGCGAAAGUGCAGUAC